UACGUAGGGGGCAAGCGUUGUCCGGAAUUACUGGGCGUAAAGCGCACGUAGGCGGCUUUGUAAGUCAGGGGUGAAAUCCCGGGGCUCAACCUCGGAACUGCCUUUGAUACUGCGAGUCUUGAGUCCGAUAGAGGUGGGUGGAAUUCCUAGUGUAGAGGUGAAAUUCGUAGAUAUUAGGAAGAACACCAGUGGCGAAGGCGGCCCACUGGAUCGGUACUGACGCUGAGGUGCGAAAGCGUGGGGAGCAAACAGG
rnacentral:rRNA from 1 species